rnacentral:rRNA from 1 species
CUGCUGCCUCCCGUAGGAGUCUGGACCGUGUCUCAGUUCCAGUGUGGGGGGCCUUCCUCUCAGAACCCCUACGCAUCGUCGCCACGGUGGGCCGUUACCCCGCCGUCAAGCUAAUGCGCCGCAUGCCCAGCCGCCACCGGAUUCCUCCUUUCGCCCGGACCGGAUGCCCGGUCCGGGCGGCAUGGGGUAUUAGGCCGGGUUUCCCCGGGUUAUCCCCCUGUGGCGGGCAGGUUCCAUACGUGUUACUCACCCGUGCGCCGGUCGCCGGCAGGUGC